UACGUAGGGGGGCGAGCGUUGUCCGAAGUUACUGGGCGUAAAGCGCGCGUAGGCGGAUUGGCAAGUCUGCUGUGAAAGCCCGGGGCUUAACUCCGGAGGGUCGGUGGAUACUGCCAGUCUUGAAGGUGCUAGGGAGAGAUGGAAUUACCGGUGUAGCGGUGAAAAUGCGUAGAUAUCAGGAGGAACACCAAUGGCGAAGGCAGCUCGCUGGGGACGUGACUGACGCUGAGACGCGAAAAGCGUGGGGGAGCAAACAGG
rnacentral:rRNA from 1 species